AUACGUAGGGGGCUAGCGUUAUCCGGAAUUACUGGGCGUAAAGGGUGCGUAGGUGGUUUCUUAAGUCAGAAGUGAAAGGCUACGGCUCAACCGUAGUAAGCUUUUGAAACUAAGAGACUUGAGUGCAGGAGAGGAGAGUAGAAUUCCUAGUGUAGCGGUGAAAUGCGUAGAUAUUAGGAGGAAUACCAGUUGCGAGGGCGGUUCCCUGGACUGUAACUGACACUGAGGCACGAAAGCGUGGGGAGCAAACAGGAUUAGAUACCCUGGUAGUCCACGCCGUAAACGAUGAGUACUAGCUGUCGGGGGUUACCCCCCUCGGUGGCGCAGCUAACGCAUUAAGUACUCCGCCUGGGGAGUACGGUCGCCAGACUGAAACUUAAAU
rnacentral:rRNA from 1 species